rnacentral:rRNA from 1 species
CAUAGGUUAAUGAGGCGAACCGGGGGAACUGAAACAUCUAAGUACCCCGAGGAAAAGAAAUCAACCGAGAUUCCCCCAGUAGCGGCGAGCGAACGGGGAGCAGCCCAGAGCCUGAAUCAGUGUGUGUGUUAGUGGAAGCGUCUGGAAAGGCGCGCGAUACAGGGUGACAGCCCCGUACACAAAAAUGCACAUGCUGUGAGCUCGAUGAGUAGGGCGGGACACGUGGUAUCCUGUCUGAAUAUGGGGGGACCAUCCUCCAAGGCUAAAUACUCCUGACUGACCGAUAGUGAACCAGUACCGUGAGGGAAAGGCGAAAAGAACCCCGGCGAGGGGAGUGAAAAAGAACCUGAAACCGUGUACGUACAAGCAGUGGGAGCCUCUUUAUGGGGUGACUGCGUACCUUUUGUAUAAUGGGUCAGCGACUUAUAUUCUGUAGCAAGGUUAACCGAAUAGGGGAGCCGAAGGGAAACCGAGUCUUAACUGGGCGUUAAGUUGCAGGGUAUAGACCCGAAACCCGGUGAUCUAGCCAUGGGCAGGUUGAAGGUUGGGUAACACUAACUGGAGGACCGAACCGACUAAUGUUGAAAAAUUAGCGGAUGACUUGUGGCUGGGGGUGAAAGGCCAAUCAAACCGGGAGAUAGCUGGUUCUCCCCGAAAGCUAUUUAGGUAGCGCCUCGUGAAUUCAUCUCCGGGGGUAGAGCACUGUUUCGGCAAGGGGGUCAUCCCGACUUACCAACCCGAUGCAAACUGCGAAUACCGGAGAAUGUUAUCACGGGAGACACACGGCGGGUGCUAACGUCCGUCGUGAAGAGGGAAACAACCCAGACCGCCAGCUAAGGUCCCAAAGUCAUGGUUAAGUGGGAAACGAUGUGGGAAGGCCCAGACAGCCAGGAUGUUGGCUUAGAAGCAGCCAUCAUUUAAAGAAAGCGUAAUAGCUCACUGGUCGAGUCGGCCUGCGCGGAAGAUGUAACGGGGCUAAACCAUGCACCGAAGCUGCGGCAGCGACGCUUAUGCGUUGUUGGGUAGGGGAGCGUUCUGUAAGCCUGCGAAGGUGGCCUGUGAGGGUUGCUGGAGGUAUCAGAAGUGCGAAUGCUGACAUAAGUAACGAUAAAGCGGGUGAAAAGCCCGCUCGCCGGAAGACCAAGGGUUCCUGUCCAACGUUAAUCGGGGCAGGGUGAGUCGACCCCUAAGGCGAGGCCGAAAGGCGUAGUCGAUGGGAAACAGGUUAAUAUUCCUGUACUUGGUGUUACUGCGAAGGGGGGACGGAGAAGGCUAUGUUGGCCGGGCGACGGUUGUCCCGGUUUAAGCGUGUAGGCUGGUUUUCCAGGCAAAUCCGGAAAAUCAAGGCUGAGGCGUGAUGACGAGGCACUACGGUGCUGAAGCAACAAAUGCCCUGCUUCCAGGAAAAGCCUCUAAGCAUCAGGUAACAUCAAAUCGUACCCCAAACCGACACAGGUGGUCAGGUAGAGAAUACCAAGGCGCUUGAGAGAACUCGGGUGAAGGAACUAGGCAAAAUGGUGCCGUAACUUCGGGAGAAGGCACGCUGAUAUGUAGGUGAAGCGACUUGCUCGUGGAGCUGAAAUCAGUCGAAGAUACCAGCUGGCUGCAACUGUUUAUUAAAAACACAGCACUGUGCAAACACGAAAGUGGACGUAUACGGUGUGACGCCUGCCCGGUGCCGGAAGGUUAAUUGAUGGGGUUAGCGCAAGCGAAGCUCUUGAUCGAAGCCCCGGUAAACGGCGGCCGUAACUAUAACGGUCCUAAGGUAGCGAAAUUCCUUGUCGGGUAAGUUCCGACCUGCACGAAUGGCGUAAUGAUGGCCAGGCUGUCUCCACCCGAGACUCAGUGAAAUUGAACUCGCUGUGAAGAUGCAGUGUACCCGCGGCAAGACGGAAAGACCCCGUGAACCUUUACUAUAGCUUGACACUGAACAUUGAGCCUUGAUGUGUAGGAUAGGUGGGAGGCUUUGAAGUGUGGACGCCAGUCUGCAUGGAGCCGACCUUGAAAUACCACCCUUUAAUGUUUGAUGUUCUAACGUUGGCCCCUGAUCGGGGUUGCGGACAGUGUCUGGUGGGUAGUUUGACUGGGGCGGUCUCCUCCUAAAGAGUAACGGAGGAGCACGAAGGUUGGCUAAUCCUGGUCGGACAUCAGGAGGUUAGUGCAAUGGCAUAAGCCAGCUUGACUGCGAGCGUGACGGCGCGAGCAGGUGCGAAAGCAGGUCAUAGUGAUCCGGUGGUUCUGAAUGGAAGGGCCAUCGCUCAACGGAUAAAAGGUACUCCGGGGAUAACAGGCUGAUACCGCCCAAGAGUUCAUAUCGACGGCGGUGUUUGGCACCUCGAUGUCGGCUCAUCACAUCCUGGGGCUGAAGUAGGUCCCAAGGGUAUGGCUGUUCGCCAUUUAAAGUGGUACGCGAGCUGGGUUUAGAACGUCGUGAGACAGUUCGGUCCCUAUCUGCCGUGGGCGCUGGAGAACUGAGGGGGGCUGCUCCUAGUACGAGAGGACCGGAGUGGACGCAUCACUGGUGUUCGGGUUGUCAUGCCAAUGGCACUGCCCGGUAGCUAAAUGCGGAAGAGAUAAGUGCUGAAAGCAUCUAAGCACGAAACUUGCCCC